rnacentral:lncRNA from 1 species
GGGGUGCUGAUGAGAAGGCUGGUGUGAACAUCACCAGUUACACUUUCUAGUUCUUGUCCGUUGACCACCCAUGGAAACCAGCCAGCUGGGGACAAGGAGAAAGCUAAGAGAUACAAUGCCAUAAAGGUUGCAGAGGUCUUCAUCCUGCUGCCCUUGGUCUCCGCUGGUUGCAGCAGCAGAUGCUCUGUCUUUCUCCUUUAGCAGUUCCCCCCACUUUGUCUAUUGGGUAAAUCAAAUGCAACCACACCCAGAAC